UACGUAGGUGGCAAGCGUUGUCCGGAUUUACUGGGCGUAAAGAGCGUGUAGGCGGCUGGGUAGGUCCGCUGUGAAAACUCGAGGCUUAACCUCGAGACGUCGGUGGAAACCAUCCAGCUAGAGUCCGGAAGAGGAGAGUGGAAUUCCUGGUGUAGCGGUGAAAUGCGCAGAUAUCAGGAAGAACACCCGUGGCGAAGGCGGGUCUCUGGGCCGAUAUUGACGCUGAGGAGCGAAAGCGUGGGGAGCGAACAGG
rnacentral:rRNA from 1 species